CAAAAUGAUGAAACUGCACUGGGCACCGACAUCCUUAAGGGUGAUAUAAUGAGCCGAGAUGCAAAUUUCGUGGCAGGCCUAGAAAACCUCGCCGACUGAUC
rnacentral:snoRNA from 1 species